rnacentral:rRNA from 1 species
GUCUACAGCCAUGCCACCCUGAACAAGCCCAAUCCCGUCUGAUCUCCAAAGCUAAGCAGGGUCGGGCCUGGUUAGUACUUGGUUGGGAGACCACCCAGGAAGACCAGGUGCUGUAGGAG